rnacentral:rRNA from 1 species
GUGGGGGAUAUUGCACAAUGGGGGAAACCCUGAUGCAGCGACGCCGCGUGAGCGAUGAAGUAUUUCGGUAUGUAAAGCUCUAUCAGCAGGGAAGAAGAUGACGGUACCUGACUAAGAAGCCCCGGCUAACUACGUGCCAGCAGCCGCGGUAAUACGUAGGGGGCAAGCGUUAUCCGGAUUUACUGGGUGUAAAGGGAGCGUAGACGGCGAUGCAAGCCUGGAGUGAAAGGCGGGGGCUCAACCCCCGGACUGCUUUGGGAACUGCAUGGCUAGAGUGUCGGAGAGGCAGGCGGAAUUCCUAGUGUAGCGGUGAAAUGCGUAGAUAUUAGGAGGAACACCAGUGGCGAAGGCGGCCUGCUGGACGAUGACUGACGUUGAGGCUCGAAAGCGUGGGGAGCAAACAGG